ACCAUUGUUUCCUACUCCGCCUCUUUCCUUCACAAUUUCCAGUGACAUCCUGACUGUAUGGGAAGUGCAAGCUUACCAGGAAAAAGAAAAUCAAAAAGAAUGAGAACAGCUUAGAAACAUGGAAUGCUAAAUUAAACCCUGAGAGAUGCUUAGAUGAUACACUGUGAAGCACUAGCAGCACUCUACCUCAGAAGAUUUUUAAGAAAAGAAGGGUGGACACAGACUGACUUUCAUUAACAUCAAGUAAGGCCUCCUAUUAAGCAGGAGACCAGAGAAGCAGAACUUGAAACACAAGAAUAGAGCGUUAUGCUCUCAGAUGCUGUUCUCUGGUUGCAGAACCUGCAGAGGAGUGGAAGCCCACAGAGAAGCUCCACUGAGCUCCGGCAUCUUUGCAGAGAUGGACUUCUCAGAAACAAUGAACGCAAGCAAAUCAUUUUGGCACCUGGCUGCAAGUUUGUGUUGGCUCUGGAUAAACAGAGAAUUCAGUGUCUCUUCUAGGACAUUUGUUCCUGUCCAGACCAAGUUUAGAAGAUGAAUGGCACAGAAGAAAUGGUUUGUAUAGUUUUAUCUAUCUUCAUAGAGCAAAAUCAGCUGCCAUUUUGAAAACUAUUUCAUGACUUAGCCUGAACUUUGACCCUGUUUUCUACAAGAUAAUUAUCCAGUCACUGCUCCAGUUUUUGUGGUUUUAACAAAAGAGUUCAAAACUCCACAAAAGGGGACCAAACUGCAUGGACCACAGCAACAGAACUCCCAGUGGCAAAGGAAUUGUGUGUAGGUGCCCAGUUACAUGCAUAUUCUUUAAAAUUCCCCAAGCUGUUCCCAUGUGGAGCAUUAUAAACAUAAGCUUCAGCCAUGAGAGACUGAUCUGCUCUCCACUGAAAGCAGUCAACAUCUGGCCUGCAUAGCAAAACAGUUUUAGUAGGAAUUUCUGCUUUGAGUGCAAAUCUUCACUCCCCCCC